rnacentral:rRNA from 1 species
AUCUUCGGCAAUGGGCGCAAGCCUGACCGAGCGACGCCGCGCGGGCGAUGAAGGCCAUUAGGUCGUAAAGCUCUGUCGAGGGGGAACAAGCCGCAAGGUUGAGUGAUCCCUGGAGGAAGCACGGGCUAAGUUCGUGCCAGCAGCCGCGGUAAGACGAACCGUGCGAACGUUGUUCGGAAUCAUUGGGCUUAAAGGGCGCGUAGGCGGGUUGACAAGUCCGGGGUGAAAGCCUCCAGCUCAACUGGAGAAGAGCCCCGGAUACUGUCAGUCUGGAGAGGGAUAGGGGCACAUGGAACUUCCGGUGGAGCGGUGAAAUGCGUAGAGAUCGGAAGGAACGCCGGUGGCGAAAGCGAUGUGCUGGAUCUUUUCUGACGCUGAGGCGCGAAAGCUAGGGGAGCAAACGGGAUUAGAUACCCCGGUAGUCCUAGCCCUAAACGAUGGGUACUGGGUUGCGGCUCAGACAUAGACUCGCAGCCGGAGCAAAAGUGUUAAGUACCCCGCCUGGGGAGUAUGGUCGCAAGGCUGAAACUCAAAGGAA